CACUUGAACUGAGAGACACUCACCCUCAUCAUCUCUUAUGAUAUUGAAACUUUACAAAAUUUAAUUACCGAAAACUAUUGAAAACCUUCACCAACCAAACCAAACCAAACCAAAAUCCCAUUCACAAAAAAUUCUAACUCUUACCAUAGCCUUUGAGAGGACCCCGGGCUCUCAAAAAUAAUUUUGAAAGAAUAAAUUUCCUCCCAACUCAAAUUUAGAAAAAAUUCAAAUAAAAACUCUUGUUAGUGAUACGAUCUCUAUGCUCAGAUCGCUCUGUGUUACCAGAAUCAAAAGAUUAUACAGUCCCUAGAAACUUGUCUUCCACUUUCUGGGCCGUUGAUUCCAUACCCACCUAAAACAAUUUCAAUUGAGUCCCAACGGUAACAAAUUCCGCUAACCAUGAAGCUGUUUGGCCAGUCCUUUCAUCCUCGACAAAUCAUUCUCGCUGCUGCCGGUCUGCUGGUAAUUGCUUCAACCUCAUAUGACGUGCACAGAUCAAUUAAGUAUAAUGAGAAACCGCCCACCAAGGAAGAAAUGGUAGCUCUUGAAGAACAUAUCAACAACUCCCGUCGUUCUGCUUGAAGUAAUUGCUUCUGAUGAACUCCCAAAGAUGCAAACCCAUGACAAAGGUGGGAUAUGAUUUUGGGAUGGAUGGCAAUGCUCAUAGACAACAACAUAUCUUCAACUCAAUCAUUUGAAUGUUAUGAUUUAAGGUAAAUGUUCAUUUUAUUUAUAUCCAUAGAAGACAACUUUACAAAUAUAAUCUAACAUUAUUGCAUGCAUAGGGAUCUAAAAGCUCUGAAGAUUACUUUCGUCAUUCAAUGGUAGAUUAUUUACAAAUUACUUGUAAAAUGACAUGUUUGUGUGGGAUGGCCACUUUGUUUUAUGGAAUGCAAGUCAUAGUAGCAUCUGGUUUGAAGUUUCAAUCACAUCCAUAGUGAGUGUUGCAACCAAUUGGACUCUGGAGAAAUUGUAGGAAUUCUUCUAAUAGUUUUUGUUUUUAACAACAAUAAUCAAUCUACUCUAGGAUCAAAGUUUGGCAACUAAAUAAUAUGGUUGUCAAAAUGACAAGUUUCGUGUUGUAAUCCAUUAAGUAACAUGAUGUUUGGUUUUCUUUCAAUUUCUCUUAAUUCAUAAAUGAUAUAUAUGUAUGUAUGUUUGUAUAUACACACAUAUAUGUAUAUAUGUACAUAUACAUACACACAUAUCCCACAAAGUUAAGUUCAUGUAGGCUACUUU